AAGGGAGGGGGAAGGGAAGGGGAGGGAAGGGAAGGGAGAGGAUUUGGGCACUAGGCUGAGACCCCAUCUGGCUCUCUCUUCAGCCAUGAUGAAGUAAACUCCUGUCUGACAGCUUUGCCUUACUUCCCACCACUGGCCCAGUCCUUGUCUCCCCCACUAGCCCCCAAUCCUACUGUGCCAGCUCCUCCCAUCCUCCAUUAUUUGCACCUGGCUUGCUCCAGGAUCCUCAGUUUGAGGUUCUUUUUGGCAACUGGAACUUUUAAGGGACUCAUAGAGUUGUUGAGGCAAAGUGAGGGCAUUCUGGGUGGCCAGGGGCCUGGGAAAUACAUCCAUUAUGGUGUACAGGCAGCAAAGUCUGAGUGGUGGCCACUCUCAGUAGUCCAGCUGUUGUCCUUGCCACCUCCAUCCAGUGGCUCCUCAGUAUCCAGAUUGUCUGCUUUUGUACAGGUGAUGCCUUCAGGGAGAUCUGUACCUUCGGGACCUUCCCAGCAUGUCUGCUGUUCUAAAUGAUAAUAAAUAAUAAGACCUAAUAAUAAUAAUAAUAAUAAUAAUAAUAAUAAUUAUUAUUAUUAUUAUUAUUAUCUUUAUUGUUACUGUUUGAGGAGGGCUUGCACUGUGUAACACAAGCUGGUCUCAAACUCAUCAUCUCCCUGCCUGAGUCUUCAAAAUGUUAGAUUAAAGGAUGUCCCACAAUGCUGAGCAAAUGUUUCCAGUAUCAACAAGACCAAAGAAGCUUUGUAAAGUUGCUAUGUUAGAAGGCUGGAUAAAAUUCUUGUUUUCUUAAACUUGGUGUGUGUGUGUGUGUGUGUGUGUGUGUGUGUGUGUGUGUGUGUGUGUGUGUAAAAAGAAGGGGAACUCCAUGGGGAGUGGAAUUAAUCUAACUAGUGGGCAGAGGAACCAAGAAUAAUUGGAGAGGAGAGAGGACAAAUAUCACAUAUUUCCCUCUAUUUGUUGAAUCUGAAUUUAAUAAGUGCCAGAGGAGGGUAAUGUUGAGGAGGAAUGACGGCAAAAAUGAUCAAAGUACAGUGAUUAUAUAUGUAUAUAUGAAGAUGCCAUAAUAAAGCCCUUUAAGACAUCCAUAGAAAUCCAAACAUUUAUAGCCAGGUGUGGUGGCAAAUAUCUUUGAGCUCAGCACUUAGGAGGCAGAGACAGGUGGAUUUCUGUGAGCUCAAGGUCAGCCUGGUCUACAUAGCAAGUUUCAAGACAGUCAUUGCUACAUAAUAGAGAGACCCUGUUUCAAAAAUCCCGUAAGUAAAUAAAAAUUUAUAAAAUUAAGUUUAUCAUCUCAUGUAUCUUCUGAGAAUCAGAACUCAGGAGGGGCUUAGCUGGGUAGUUGUGGCUUUUACAAGGUUACUGUUAGGCUGUCAAUCACAGCUAUGAUGUAUGAAGAAUGACAGGUGAAGCUAUACUUCCUGGUUCCUUCAAAUGGUUCCUAGUUUCUGUUUUUCUGUCUGUCAAGGCCUUUCCUGAGGCUGGUUACAAUUUAGAGGUCCUCAGAAAAGAACAGUUGAAAAGAGAAUGACAGAACAAGAGGGAGGGACAACAACUUGUCCUUUUGAAUAAGCCAAUGCGAUGUGCCAUGUCAUCAGGUCUGCAUGUCUGUCAGUCAUACACACUAACCUUCGCACUGUGCAAGAGGACUGUGUGAACACCAGGAGGCAGAGAUAACCAGCUGAGCACAUUUUAUUCUCUCUCUCAGCCUUUUCAGUAAGUCUACUCAGGGCAUCUGUGUUGAAGGAUGAGGCAGACAAUCCCUGCUGGGUACAGCAGCCUCACUCUCUCUGCUUACCCAGGACCAGCAGGGUGAGUUUGUCACCCCUGUAUCCUCACCUCUCUGUCCUUCUGAGCCUGACUCACUCCAGUUCCUGUUACAUUUACCAGAGUUGUUCUCAGCCCCCCAAAUCCCAUAAUACCUGUAAAGCCCUGGGCAUCAGGUCCUUAUUUAUCUUUUCUCUCUCCACCCACCAAACUGCCAACACUGCCCCCUUUUCCAGGGACCUAGAUAUCUGUGAGAAUGCCCAGUUAGCCAGAAUGCACCAUUCCACUAGUAAUUUCCUGUCUACUGACACCUCUUCUGCUACUGAAGAGAACAGGACAUAGAGAUUGCUCAGGCAGUUGUAAGGGACAGGGACCUUUAAAGCCAACAGUUCUGAUCCCUCUCCAUUGCCAGAAGCCAGAACUGUCCUUGUCCUGGGGGUUCUGGCUCCUAGCCUGCAUUCUCAUGGUUCUUCUCCUUCACAAACCUUCAUGACAGUACUGCCCAGAUGCUAUAUGAGAGUAUCCAAUGAGGUGUGUGAGCCAGGAGGUGGUGGCACAGGCCUGUAAUCCCAGCAGCUGGGAGGCAGAAGCAGGCAGAUCUCUGAGUUUGAGGCCAGUCUGAUCUACAGAGUUCCAGGACAGUCAGAGCUACACAGAGAAACCUUGUCUUGAAAAAACAAAACAAAAACUGAAACACCUCAUGGACAGGCCAACCAGACUGGCUCACUCCUGGAACUCAACCCAGUAAGGCUUCAUUAACCCCUAGAUGGGGACCCUGAAGGGUAACCCAUUUCUUGGAACCCACUCUUACUUUCUCUUUAGCUCUCACCUACAAACCUCUAAUGAACUCCCUAAAAAUUCUCUGCACUGUCCAUGAAAUUCAUUCUGGGAGCUCACAAGACAGAGCACCCAGAAGCCGCUGGCCUGAGGCGAUCUUGGUGGCCACUGACUUCCUGGGACCUUAGCCCCGUGAGUUAUGCUUACUAUCAUGAGAAUACUUCUGUUUUGUACUCAAGGACCCCACCUCCCUGUAGCCUGUAUCACAGGCUAUAGACUUCCCACUUUUCUUUGCUGUGUUCUGAGCCAAGCUUGAACUGAAACACCAUCAUCACUUCCCUUCCAAUAAAGCCUUCCUUGCUGCUCUAGCAAGACUCAUGAAUAAAUCUUCUGAUUCACAUGCCCAAAGCCCUGUAUAACACAAUCUUUCUCUUUUCCAUGAUGAGACACAGAUCUCAUCAUGUAAGUUUAGGGGCCACAAACUCUUAGGUUCAGCUGCUGGGGCAGAUGGCCAUGGGAGCAAUCCCUCUGGUUAAGGUUGCAGCAGGAAGUUCUUUAUGAGCUCCAUGCCCUUUGAGACACCGCUGCCCAACUCUGAAGUCCUUGUUAGUUGGUCAUUUGGGGCUAUAUAACCUUCAGUUCAUGGCUCUGUUUAAUACCACAGAGCCUCUUCUAUUGAUCUUUGGGUAUGACUCACUGCUGGUGUUUUGGAGAAAUUGACCAUUAUGUCUGGAAUGUAGAAUAAAGAGGGGUCCAGGGUAUCUAUGGUCCUAUGAUUUCCCGGCAUAGUACCAUCCUGGGAGAUAGUUUGAGAGCUCAGUGGAGGAGAUAUUUUUAAAAUACAGCCCAUCUGACUUUUUCUUUUGACAAGAAGUCAGCUGUGGAGCAGCCCGGGAGAGGUUGCACAGCACAUCCUCUGAGGAAGGCUGGGGGCAGAAAGAUUGGAGAGAGGUCUGUACACUUACAGAACUGCAGUGAAGCAGAGAAGGCUGGUGGCCAGACUAGAGGGAUUCAUGUGGGACUCCCAAAUGAUCCUUUGCCAUCUGCGAUGGAGAAACAGUUGCAGAUUCAAUCCUGUUAUUUGUUUCUGCUCACCACAUUUAAGGGAGAGGCAUUUAUUCAUUAUUUUAAAAACAAGCAUAUGUUCACAAGUUACUUCUAAGCAGAGUCACAAUAGAGUGGAAAUUCAGUUGCCAUUGGUUGUAUUUUUACAGUCUUAUAUUUUUGACACAUGGACCUAUCUUUGCAUGUACAGUAAUGCAUUGCUAAUGAUGGGAUGCAUUCUGGGAAAUGUCAUGAGAUGACUUCCAUUCUGUGAUUGCAUGAACAUCACGGAAUCUACUUGCAAGAACAGACUGCAUUACUAGGCAGGUGGGUAGGUUUUGGGGACUACCACUGUACAAUCUACCACUGACCCACUUGUUAUGUGGUACGCGACUAUGUUUUUGUGUAUAUGUGCACUUAUGGUUUGGGGAGAGGUCAGGAAGCUGUUUUGAAGUCAGAUUUUUUGUUUUGUUUUGUUUUUGUUUUUGUUUUCCCCUAAUUCUAGGGAUUGAAUCUAAGACCUUGAGCUUGCCUAGCAAGCACUCUACCACUGAGCUAAAUCAUUACUUAGCUCCAUAAUGUUUAAUCUUUUGGAUUUCAAGCCCGUGGUUAGACUAGUAGCAAGAACAGAAACAAGAUGACAGUCUUUGCUUCCUGCAGAGACAGUGAUUUGUGAGGAGUGGAUUGAGGGGUGUUUGGAAAGCCUUCCAAACCACACUGAUGCCUUAACUCACAAGAAACCAUUCCCUGUUCUUAAGAGAGCUAGGGUCUUUGGCAAUUCGAUUACCCUGGACAGGGAAACCAGGCUUCGGUUUAGUUAGGUUGGGCCUGUCUCUCUAGACAGAGACUAGAUCUUGUGUCCGUAGACUUCUGCUUGGACUUACUAGAUAUCCAGCCUUUAGCGUAUUAGCCCAGUUAAUCUUCUCAACAGCUCAAAAAAGCAGACAACAAUAUUUCAUAAGUUACCCCCAAUUCACAUUGGUGAAUAAAUGUAUCCUGAACUGAACAACAGAAAAAGAAGGUGUGUGGAGGAAUCUUGGUCUACCUGGGCUGUGAUCACAGAUGUCUAUAAUCUAGAUAACUUAUGUGACAAACAGACUGGGAACAGAGGUUCAUUUCUCCCUGUUCUGGAGGCUGGUAAGUUGGAGAUCAAGCCCCUCUCAUUCAGUUGUUGCGGUGGGCUCUGUUCCUGGCUUGUGGAUAGAAGCCUUCACAAUGUGUCCGGGGUGGGGCAAGAGGGGUGGGGGGUGGAGAGAACAGAGUCACACACAGACAUCGACAGAGAGCGGGGAUGGCGGGGUGGGGGGUGUGUUAAGACAGAGGGAGACAGAAAGAGAGACACAGACAGGCACACAUACACAGAGAGAGGCAAAGACAGGGAGACAGAUGCAAGAGAAGGUCCCUUUCUCUUCUUGGAGAACAUUCUGUGGUUGACAUUUGGGAGAUGAAGUGCUGUAGAAAGAAGUAGGUAACGCAUCUGAGGACAGCAGAAUUAAGGCUUUCUGGAGGAUGGUGGCAGCUAGAAUACCCUAGGCAAGGUCUUAAGGACAAGGGGAGGGGUGUGUGCCCAGCGUCAUGUGGCUCUGCGUGGAUUCUCAGUUAGCAGACAAAACAAAACAAAAUGAUGAGAUGAUGUCAUCUUAUGGGAAAGGAAGUUUUUCUUUUCUCUUUCCCUCCUCCCUCCCUCCUCCCCCCUUCCCCAGAUUCUCUUCUCUUCUCUUCUCUUCUCUUCUCUUCUCUUCUCUUCUCUUUUCUCUUGUCUCUCCCUCCCUCCCUUCCUUUCAUUCAGGACCUCACUGUGUAGCUCAGGCUGGCCUUAAACUUAUGAUCCUUUCGCCUCUUCCUCCAAAUACUGAGAUUUACUUUUAUUUUCCCCCUCUUGCAUGUUAGCUAAGUCACUGAAUAUAAAAUAUGACACAUUACAUAUCCAGACACGGAUGAAAAGAGCUACAGACCCACAAGAUGUUGGUUGCUUUUAAAGGUCAGUUAUGUUGUCUUCAUCUUUCAAGACAAUAAACUGUAAAUUCAAGUGUUUACUGAUAACUCCUCUCAUUUGACUCUCCACUAAAAUGAUUCAAGAUUCACCAUUGUUGUUCAUUUAGCAUCUAUUCAGAACUGAAGCUAUUUAGCCAUCCAUGGACACAGUCUAAGUACAGUCUUCACAGAUCACUGGGCUAGGAAUACCUCUAGUGAACGAAAAAACAAAACAAAACUCCAGUCCUGGUAAGUUUAUUCUUCUUCCUUCCUUCCUUCCUUCCUUCCUUCCUUCCUUCCUUCCUUCCUUUUGGUCAGGGUCUUACCUUGUAACUUUGGCUGUCCUGGCUAGAUUUGAAUUCACCUAAAUCUGUCUCCCAAUGUUUGGAUUACAGACAUACACCAUCAUGACUGGUCUGGUUGAGUGAUUCUUAGGAAAAACUAAAGCUUAAGAAUCACUUCAUUGGGCCGGAGAGAUGGCUCAACGGUUAAGAGCACUGACUGUUUUUUCCAGAGGUCCUGAGUUCAAUUCCCAGCAAUCACAUGGUGGCUCACAACCACCUUAAAUGAGAUCUGGUGUCCUCUGCUGGUGUGCAGACAGAAGACUGUGUACAUAAUAAAUAAAUAAAAUCUAAAAAAAAAAGAAUCACUUCAUUGUUCUAGUUGAAAUACAGCUAAGAAAAGGCUGUAGAGAAGUGUGCUCACUAGCUAGUUUUGUAUCAUCUUGACACAAGCUAAAGUCAUCUGAGAGGAGGGAGCCUCAGUUGAGAAAACACCUCCAUAAGAUCAGGCUGUAGAUAACCUUGUGGGGACAUUUUCUUAAUUAGUGAUUGAGGGAAUUAUAUUGAGGUAAUCUUAGUGAUAGGGGAGGACCCAGCCUAUUCUGGGUGGUGCCACCCCUGGGAUGGUGGUCCUGAGAUCUAUAAGAAAGCAGUCUGAGCAAGCCAGUAGGCAGCACCCCUCCAUGGUCUCUGCAUCAGUACCUGCCCUAUUUGAGUGCCUGUUGUGAUUUUCUUCAGGGAUGGGCUAUAGAUGUGGAAGUGUAAGCCAAAUAAACACUUUCCCCCAAUUGCUUUGGGCCAUUGUGUUUUAUCAUGGUGAUAGCAAAUCUAAAUAGAAUAAGGAGGAAAUAAAGGCAUCAGAGCAAAUAUCUCACAAAAGCAAAGCAUAGUAUGUGCUACAGUUUGAAUGAUGAUGUCUUCCUCAAGAUUCAUCUUGAAACUUUAUCCCAGUGCAAGAAUAUUAAGAGAUGGGUCCUCAGAGGUGAUGAAGUCAUGAGGCCUUCAUCCCUAGGAAGAGGAAUAGUGCAUUCAUGAGGGCUUUAGAUUGAAAAGAUCAUUCUUGCCCUUCCAUUCAUCUGUCAUAUGGUAUCAUAACCAUUCUCCCUCAACAAGAUGCAGCGUCAAGGUAUCACACUGAGAACAGAUGAAAGCCCUAACCAGACACAAUCCAUUAACACCUUGAUUUUUAACUUUCCAGCUUCCAGAACUCUGAGAAGUAAACUUCUUUUGUUUGUAAAUCACCCAAUCCAUGGUGUCUUGUAAAAGCAGCACACAUGGACUAACACAACUCUAGACAUCAAAGCUUAAGUAUCCUCCUUAGGCCUCCUAGAAUGAUUUCUAGUGUGCCCACUUUACCUGUCCUCUGGGGCCUUGUAGGUUAUCCCUUAAUGAAGGGGAAGGAUAAAUCUCUCAUAGUUAUCCUAGAUUUUUCAUUCUCAUUUUUAUAGUUCAUGUCAAUGUGUAUUGUGAAUGAAAAACAAACUAGCUCAUUGUCCAGCGCACCAAAAUAUAGCCUCCUGAUGGGGGAUGUCAGAAAAGAAGGACAAAAAGGAUGAGUUGAGAAGCUGGCAAACCACUGUACAAGGUAGCCAUGUCACGUUUCCUGUGGAACUGAAGCUCACCUUCAGUAAGACCUUCACCUUCAAGACUUGUAAUAUGUGGAACAGAUGUUUUAAUUUACCAGAAAUCAUUUGCAUAAUCAAUCCUACACGUGGUUUAUCAAACCUGCCAAAGAGCAGGUGACAAUAUGAAAUUAAUAUGACUACUAAUUUGACACAUCAUUGAGAUUAAUUUGACCUCUCCUGACCUCAUCACACCCAGAGGUCUGUAUAGGCAGGAACAGUGAGCUAUGAAAUGCCAUAUGCAGCAAUCUAAACCCAUCUCGGCAACGUCAAUGAAGCAGCCACCUUGCUCAGCCAGACCUCAGACUUCAGCUGCUUCCUUUCAAACUCUAAAUUGAGAUGAAGGCAAUGGGGGUAUAUCUAACUCAGAGUGUCCAUGAUUUUAUGAAAAAUAAUUGACCCAUCUCUCUUUCUAUAUAAUGUGUGUGAAUGUCAUCUUCCUGGCUUCUUGAUUGUCCCUCAACCCCAGUCACAAGGAGCUACUACAGUUGAGAACCCAUUAGCUUAAAUGUUUACUUUCAAGCCUAGAUAAUUAAAAUAAAGGAUUUAAAUAUAUAAUUUUGACAACAAAAGUAAAUUAUUUGAAACAAUAGAAGUGUCUUUCCAUAGAAGAUUGGUUAAAUAGAAUAAUAUUUUGUGCCAAUGAAAUGCUAUGUAGUCAUUUGGAUAAUGUGGGGAAGCACAUACAUAGAUGUUUUUGGGACAUGAAGGAACUACAUUGUAAACAUGUGAACUAUGACCUCAUUUCUGUAAAGAAAAUCUCACAUGUAUGGUCUCUGGAAAAGGUAAAUGCCACAUUAACUAUGGUUAAUACAUGAUAGAAUUAAAAGGGCAUUAUGAGUUUUCCUUUUAUUUGUAUUUUGAAUUUUUAAAAAUUUCAACCAUGAGCAUGCUUCUGUUGUUAUUGUGGUGGUUUUAUGAUAGAGAGAAAAAAUGCUGUGUCUCUAAAAUCAUGGUGGUGCAUCUAACUCAGUAACUAUUUUACUCUCUGAACUCCAGUCAUGUUUCUAUUAACUGGUUUCUCUCUUACAGCAAAGAGGCAACACCGAGAACAAGUUGGGGGUUUCUGUCAUUCCAUCAUGGGUCAUGGGGAUUGAACUCAGGUCUUCAGGCUUGGUGACAGGCCCCUUUACCUGCUAAGCCAUAUUGAUAAUCCAAGAAACAGUUAAAAUAUAUAUAAUAUUUUAAAAUUUAUUCUUUGAUAAUUUCAUACAUUUAUACAGUGGAUUUUGAUCAUAUUCACCUCUUUCUCUAAUCCCCCUAGAUCUCUUACUCACAUGCUCCUCCCAUUUUGUGUCUUAUAAGAAACAACCCAACAACCCACUGAGUUCAAUUAUUGCUGUCAAUAUGUGCAUGGGGGUGGGUCAUGCACUGUAGUGUGGUCAAACUACCAGGGGACAACAUCACUGAGAAAAAUUGAUUCUUCCUCUUCCAGCAGCCACCGUCUUCCAAUUGUGCCUCAGCUGGGGGAUGGGGCCUCAUGGGCCCUGCCCACUUCAUGUUCGAGUGUUGACUGGCUUUAUCUUGUUCAGGUCUCAUACAGGUGACCAGCUGCUGGGCAUUCACUGGUCUACAGCCCUGUCAAGUCCAGAACACACUGCUUUGCAGAAGUCCUCCCCGUGCUCUCUAUCUUACAAUCUGUCUGAGUUUAAGAUUGAGCAUUCUGCAGUGCUCCCUGGAACUUUUGGGGAGGACACGUGAUAUAGUGGUCCCAUUUAUGGUUGAACAACUCACAGACAUCUCUUCUCUGCACUUUGACCAGUUGUACUGGGACACAGUCCAAGAACGGUCCGUGUGAAAAGAAUUCUGAGUGCUUGUGAGGAAACUCCAAGAAAACAAGACAAGAAUCUUGUGACUUCAGUUUCUUCAAAUCACAGAAUUGUUUUGGGAAUGCGUUUUCAUGCUCCUCCAAGGUGUAGUGGAUAGCAGUGAGUUUUCUUCAGAUUACUCACUAUUGCUUGCUGUUGUUAUUCAACUAUCCUUUGUAUGCUUUUAUGGAAAUACAUGUUUUUGACAUGUGUAGCUUGUCCUGUGAUUGUAUACAACUUGAACUCAAGAGAACUUUCCGCAGGGGACCUCUCUUAACCCUCAGAGUAUAAAUUGUCCAAUGCUCUGAAUAAAGUUGGCUAUUGCACGAGA